UGAUUAUUAGCCCUAAACAUAGGUUUUGAUUGCAAGGUUCAAACGGAUAUGCAACUGCUCUCUGAAAUUGUUUGAAAAAUAGUAACCGCUCCUCAUCAACAGUUACUGCCGCUCACUACCCAUUGCCGCUGCUCACCACCCAUCGCUGUUGCUGCUCUUCAACAACUUUAACGGCGGCGGAGACCUCCUCCUUGAAGCGGACUUUCUCAGUGACUUGAGCUUCAGCGUGAGUGAGAAGGAAGAGCUUAUAUGCGAGGAUGAGGUGCGGUUGCGGAGUUUCCUCUUAACCUUCCAUUCAACGACCGGCAUUAUAUUCAAUCAACCGUCAUAGCUACAUCCUACAGCCUUUUCACAUCAGUGACCAAAUAUUUUUAGAAUAUUAUGCCUCUUUUGCAUGGACAUUUGUAAAACAACGGCCGUUGUGGCAGACUCUCCUCCCUUUUUUUGGCCUGUUUUGACUCUAGCGAUUUGCCUAUUUCCUGUCUAUCCUCAUUCGUGCAAGCUAUUGAUUCUCUACUCAUGUGCUGGAGUGCUUCUUCUAAUUAUCUCCCUGCUUCUAGUUUGUGCCAGCAUCUUGUGUAUUUGGUUCGUCAUGGUCUAAUUGGCAACAAAUAUUUGCACAUUCUAAAUGGAAAUUAUUGGAAUGAAAGAAAUGAAAUCAAGAUGGACGUUUUCCUAGCUAUAUCAAAAGUUAGGCUUAGUUCAGUUUUUUAGCGAAUAUUUUAAAUGUUUGCAUACAAUUGGUUAUUUUAGUAUUAUUGAAGAUUUAUUCAUUUAUAAUUUUAUGUAAUAUUUGAAUUGAUUUAGUUUUUUAUUCAUUGAUUUUAGCAACAA